rnacentral:ncRNA from 1 species
GCGGAAAAAUGGUCGCCUUUUUUCCCCUCUUGCACGCUUAUCUUCGCCAAAUGACGAAGUCCUCUCGCACGCAGCUUUCGCCGAGCUAAAACAAAGACNAGUGUCGAGGUGGGCCGGUACGUUUACUUUGAACAAAUUAGAGUGCUCAAAGCAGGCUAUGUUCGCCUGAAUACUGUGUGCAUGGAAUAAUGGAAUAGGACCUCGGUUCUAUUUUGUUGGUUUUCGGAACCCCGAGGUAAUGAUUAAUAGGGACAGAUGGGGGCAUUCGUAUUGCGACGUUAGAGGUGAAAUUCUUGGAUCGUCGCAAGACGGACAGAAGCGAAAGCAUUUGCCAAAAAUGUUUUCAUUAAUCAAGAACGAAAGUUAGAGGUUCGAAGGCGAUCAGAUACCGCCCUAGUUCUAACCAUAAACGAUGCCAGCUAGCGAUCCGCCGAAGUUCCUCCGAUGACUCGGCGGGCAGCUUCCGGGAAACCAAAGCUUUUGGGUUCCG